rnacentral:misc_RNA from 1 species
ACUUUAACGCAAAAGUUUUUAAGCUAAACGCAAACAUUUAUUACCAAACUUAUGGUGCCAAAGCAAUAAAUGUACAUAUAUUUGCACAUAUACGGGAAAAAGAGCAGAUGCGGUGGAAAAUUACGCUUUUAAUUAGGAUAAUCAUGAGCGAAAAUCUGUGGCAGCUAAUGUGAGCAACAAUUUACAUUAAACGUGGGCCAUUUGUAAACAAUUUGUUGUGGUUGCGCUUGGGGAUAGAAUCGCUUACUAAAUUAUACAUUUAAUUAUAUUCCAUGAUUUUUGCAGCUACCGAACGUUAUCGCAACAAAUGUGCCAAGGAUUCCCGAAGGGAUAAUACAAUAAAUGUCUUGUUUGGUCAGUUUUCAUAAUUGAAAUUUUGUUUAGUCGAGCCCAAGUUAUAAUAUAUUCGAUUUGCAUUAUCGCAUACGAACAUGGGCAUUAAUUUGAAUGCACUUGGCAAUGUGGAAUGGGCGCAAAACUUGUAAUUUUGCGAGCUGACAUCAACAGCCAUCCCAGUGAACAUUUAGCCUUGGGUCGGCUAAUCGUCUGGAGUAAUUCCACAACAAAACCUGCAACUCAACAUGCAUAAUUUAGGUAACAAAUGAUAACUCGAAGAAAUGUGAAGCCAUGCAUAAAUUUUCCCAGCUCGCAAGUGCCACAGACUGCAACUGCAAAUGCAACUGCAACUGCAACUGCACAGCACAUCAUCAGACAGGUAGACAUCAAGCAGACAGACUCCAGGCCAAGACAGAGGAUUUGCUGGCGAAACUCCUUUUGAUUUAUUACAGAAAACUGACCGAGCAGCCGAGGAGUGAGCAGCGUGUCAGCCUUUCCUGUUGCCUUUCCAGCCAACUCAACUCUACUCAUCAGCAGCUGCAGUCAGCUCUGCCCCUGCCUCAUAAUUUAUAAACAAAUGCGAAUCGUCCAAGUUGGCAGAGUGGUCCUUGUUUGCCACAAGGGAAUAACAGUCGUCCAUCCAUCCAGUGGACUGGGGCAGAUAUACAUAAGGCGAAACUGGGUGGUUAUGAAUGCUCGUAGUUAUGCCCUCGAUGGCAGGCAGCCUGAAUUGAUGAGAUCAUAACGUGUGUUAUGACGCCAAAUAUAAUUGCCAGUCAACUGGCACAAGUGGAAUUGAAAAAGUCAAAGCAUUAUGCAAAUUAUUAAUUAUGAUAGCUGCAAUCGAAAAAUCUGGGAAUAAAUGAAACGCUUUGAUGCUAUUGUAAAAGAAUUAAAAUCUGUUAGUACUGAUCAUUUAGCAUUAAUUAAUAUAUUGCCAAUAAAGACUAACUUUUGGUUGAUAAUGCUUAAAAAACUAAUAUACGCCACUUUCCAAUAGUGAAAAAUAGAUUAAAAAAAAACAGUAACAAAUGAAUUUUUAUUGCUAAACCUCGAUAGAAAAUUCCAGCGCUUUGUGUGCAAUAUUUAAUCUAUUUCCACUUCUUACUUUUUCAUUUUGAUGACCACUGUAAAUGUUUAAUGAAUAUCUCUGCUGGCAAAAAAAAAAGUAGUUGACCAAUGUACAGCUCUUCAACAGCUUCGAAUUGGACCUUCAAAGGGUAAUUCCGACAAUUUUUCGCCCACCCACAGGAAAAGCAUGAAUUAUUCAAAUAGAAUUGCUAAAAUAUGUAAACUGUCGUGACGUUUCGAAGCACUCGCCAAUUUAAUUACAGUUCCAUCAAAUGCACACACUCAAGGCAAAAGCAAAAAAUAUUUAAAAAUGCAGACAGACCAUUGAAUUUUUGUGCCAUUUCAAAGACCAUCUGUACAUUAAUAUUUUGUGAGUGUUGCCUUUAUGUAUGAACACAUUAAAAUAUGAAUUAUUUACGCCGAAUUGCUCUUGAGCUUGUGGAUUUUAAAAUCAAAUAAAUGGACACAAAUUACUUUGUCAUAUCUUAUUGAUUUUAAGCUACUCUCGCCCACGUCACCGAAAUGCAAACAAGAAUAAGUCCGACCUGUCCCAGUUUUUUUUUUUUUUGCUUACGUAAAUGUGAGCUCAAAACAUUGCUUUGUGAUUUGUGUUCAAUAACUACCGCUCAUUAAGUUCAUUUAUCAAUUCAGUUAAGGGCAUGUUAAGCCCACCACUUACCAGUAAUAAUUAUCUCUAUAAGCCUAAUGACUAAUAACCAUAUUCGAGCCACACAAAAACAGAAUUUCACGCCCCAAUGCGAAUACAAUUUGCACGCAAAUAAAAAAGGCAGUUUACGUAUGACGCCCACUGUAGGCGUUGUUCGCCACGGACAUUACACUACUUAUCUACAUAAUAAUUUAGUGUAGUUUUAAAAGGCCUUUAGCCCAUUGAUCUGAUACCCAAAUCUUGUUAAACAGUAGGCAGGCACUCUCCUUCCGGCAAACAAGGCGAUGUGCCGCGUCGGUUGCCCACAAAACAAACAAUAAAAUUAAAUAAUUACAAGUCGUGAGUGAAUUUCACGCGAAUCCAAAUGCUGAUGCACACACUCUGAUAAUGCACCCAAAAAAAAUAAAAAGAAAAACUGCAGAUACCCAAACCCACACAGAGCUGGCGGAAUAUUCGAAAAAUGCGCAACGGAUGCCUCUUGACCAAUGGACAUGGCAAAAAGCCCCGCUUUCCGUUUUAUAUCGAUGACAAUGUCCCCAAAUAAGUGCCAACAACUGAGCCACAUUCAAGAGUUGGCAACAGGAGGUGGGGUGUGUGCAUCGCCCUGCCACGCAGACAAAAUCAAGCCACGCACGAAUGCCACCAGACGAUACCGCCACCAAUACCAAUGGCAAUGCCAAUACCAGGCCGGCAUAAAAGGAGAGUAUCCCACUGGAUUCCAGGAACAUGUUUAAACGAUGUCGAGCAUUCGGAAAAAGAGUAAUGUUCGCCGGCAUUUCGACCAUGGGUGACAAUCUUUUUAGCAUAAAAUCACGGUAACUACUCGUAUGAUACUUCCAAAAUCGGUAAGUCGGCGACGAGAUGAUUUGAUAAGUGGUCCUUUUUUACAAUUGCAAGGAUUCCAACCUAUUCCCAGGUGGAUGGAAAGAAUUUCUGAAGGGGGUAAACCUUUGAAGUUCAUCUGCGAGCAAAGCACUGUUCUGUGUAUCAUAACUAUGUUCAAUAUUACUCCAUUAUUAAAUUAUAAGUAAUUAGAAAAUUCGUUGCUUCGUAACUCGCUAGAGAAAGAAUGGUAAACAUUUAUGAUAAAACAUUCGGUUGAUUCCUAGAAACAUAUUAAAAUAUAAACUUAGGGAUUGUUAACAAACUCAAUGACGUCGAAGAGUUAUGAGCUGUAUGUAAGUGUAGGUGGUAGCUAAGUAACGGGUAUCUGUUAGUCGAGGAACUCUUCUGUAGCGCGAUCUGUUCUUAUAUCUGAAGAUGUAGGUUAGGAACAUUGUAUUAAAGGCACAACAUUAUUCCAUAGUUUAAAUAAAGAAUUAGUACAUGGUGUAAAUGAAAGUAGUGCCAGCGAUGUGGCUCAGUAAUUAAGCUUAAGUAAAUGAGUGCGUGCGAAUUGAAGUCCCCAGGCAAGGACCCACCGGAACUGGAGAGCGCACCCAGUUUUGAGGUGUUCCAUCGCAGUGGGUCGGCUAUAAAAGGACACUCCGCAUGUGUGGCGCAGCUUAGUCGAAUUCCACGAGUCCUGUUCUGUGGACAAUGGCCGAGAUCAGGGAGGACGAGGAGGAAAAGAAGUCGGGCAUCAGCAUUCUGCCCGGUCCGGAACUAUUGGCCCUUCCCGGCUUCGAUACCCGGGCCAGUAUUGCAUCGGCUGCAUUAAGUGAUGUUCCAAGUGAUGUGAUCAUCAAGUCUCGCAUUCGAUACGGAAGUCCUUUGUCAGCCUGCAAAGGAUUACUAUUGGAGUAUGCGAAGAGCACGACCAUUCACGGCAUACGCUACAUCUUCGAGGUUCACAGACCGAUCUAUGAAAAACUUUAUUGGCUUUUUUUCACGUGCAUUUCCGUUUACUUUGCCGUUUCACUUAUCUGGGACACCUAUCUUAAGUGGCAGGAAUCCCCGGUUAUUCUUGGCUUCGACGAGACUUUGGUCCCAGUGCAUAAGAUACCUUUUCCCACAAUUACCAUUUGCCCGGAAAUUAAAAUGGAACGCAAUGUCUUUGACUAUACUAACGUAUCGCGACAACUUUGGGAGGAGUACAAACAGAAUGGCAAUAUCAGCGACUUGGAUGAUGAGGACCUGGCUCGAAUGGCGGUUGCAAUGCACAUCUGUGAUUCGGAAGUGGUGCAGCGGUUUACUCCAUUGCUAUCGCAGCUUAACCCGCCGAACGUGGACGUAACCCAAACUCUGAUUGACUUGAGUAUAUCGAAGAACGAGACUGGGCCGUUUUGCAAGUGGAAUGGUCGCUUUUACUUCUGCGACAAGAUCUUCGACUUUGUGGCCACCGACGAGGGCAUCUGCUACCAAUUCAAUGGCCUGCGACCCAAGGACAUUUAUCGCGACGAGAAGUUCAUUAGCUAUGUGGAUCCGGAUGUGGUGGACUUCAACAAGUACUUCGAUGUGGAUUUGCCGCCCUGGAACAACAUAACCGGCAAUUGGUCACUGGACACUGGCUUCGUGGACCAGGGCCAGAAUGCGUAUCCCCAAAGGACGGUGUUCUCAUCGGUGAAGAAUGGGUUCUUCGCCUUUUUGCAGGGUUUGCAGCACAAUUUCGACUACGAUUGUCGCAGUUUCAAACAGGGCUAUAAGGUCUUUCUCAACUCCCCGGAGAGUGUGCCGCUGACGACGGGCAAUUAUAUCCUGGUCCCUCAUGGCGAUGAGGUCCUUGUCAGUGUGCUGCCGGCAUAUGUCGUGUCCACCGACAAUUUGCACGAAAUUACACCCGAAAAACGCCAAUGUCUGUUCGAUGAUGAGCGAUCGCUGCGAUUCUUCCGUUCCUAUUCCCAGAGCAAUUGCCAAACCGAAUGUCUGGCCAACUAUACGGUUUCCAAAUGCGGUUGUGCCAAAUUCUGGAUGCCCAAACCUGUUGGUACUCCCGUUUGUGGCCUCAAGGAUAUUAACUGUUACACAUCGGCCCAGGAUGAGCUGUACACCCUGAUGCAAAACCAAACGAUGGCAAAGAGUAUUGAUGAAAGUGUGGACAUCACCUGCAACUGCAUGCCAGCCUGCACUUCGCUGGAAUAUAAUUUCGAGAUAUCCAGGGCCAAAUACGAUGUGGCCAAAACCAUUCGAGCCUUCCGCGAAGAAUACGAGCAUACGGACGCCAUUGGAUCCCGACUAUCCGUCUACUUCAAGGAGCAUCAGUUUACGGCCAUUAAACGCACUAUUCUUUUCGGAGUAUCCACAUUGAUUUCCAACUGCGGCGGUAUCUGCGGAUUGUUUAUGGGAAUCUCGUGUCUGAGUUUCCUGGAGCUAAUCUACUUCUUCUGCAUGAGAAUCUGCGGCAGCUGUCGCGAUCGCAGGAAGCACAAGAUACAACAGCAGAACUCAGUGGAUGUACCAGAGGAAAACUCUGAGAACUAGUCGGUGGUCUUAAAGGCAGAAAAAUACUAUUUAAAAGAAACUUCAACCAUUAUAGCACUUAAACGGGUAAAUAAAGUUGUCCUACAUAACGAUAUUUCGCACUCACAAUGACACAUUCCGAAAGUCUGUAGUACUGAGAGACCAAUUGAGUUUCCAGUUUACCAGGUAAUUUAAUCGAUUACAAAUUAAAAAUGCAUGUGAUUAGCACAUGGUCAAAGCAAUUGAUUUGCUCUAAUUAAUUGAUUGCAAUGCUCUAGCAAAACACUGAAACUAAUUAAAUAUCCUAUUUAAAGGCGUAACCAUAAACACAUAAAGCAUUUAAUGUGCUCCCAAUGGAAUUCAUGUGGUUUUUUUAUUCUACCCCUUUUCAGCCAUAUUUCAUAGAUGUCGAGACCCCGAAAAGGUAUAUAUUUAAACAUAAUCUGUUCGCACCAAAUGUCAGAUCUAAUGGAUUUUGUCACUGGCCACAAAUCAUGCAAGAGUAUUAAAAACUUCAGCAUUUUCAGCAUUAUUAAUAAGGCACGACAAUAAAAAAUGUGUUCGCUAUUUGGCUUUGAUCUUUUCGUUGGGUCGUGUGGCGGUCGAGAAAAAAAAUGAAGGGGAAACGAUGGAGAUUUAUCGCAGACAAAUAUUUUGCCUUCGAGAAAAGUCACUCAAGAAUCUGCAUUAUGCGUAUAGGUUAAGUCUCUAAAUUCGUAUUCCUGUCACAAUUUGUUUACUUUUGAGAAUUAUGAAAGUUUCAUAUUCGUAUAUUUUAUGAUAAUUGUAAAAACAUUCCGUGUAUUAAUUUUAUGAAGCGUAUUUCGGGCUGCUUGGUUGACAAAUUGUUGGCACAGCUGUUCGUGUUUAAAAUAAGUGGAUGGAUUUUAGUUAAUGACCCUCAAACUUAAGUUGUUUAUGGCUUGUGACGAAAAUAAAUUCAUAUUGGAAGUCGCCAAGGAACAACAAAUAACAGUACAUAUAGAAAUAUUAUGUUGGCAUAAAUCAAAUGCAGUCUUAGCUAAUAAAUUGCCAUGCUUUUCGCAACAACUCACAAGUUUUGGAGCAAUUUAUGUUUGAAGACUUAAAGAAUACUGUGGAAAUUUUCAUAUUUGAAGACUUAAGCAUGAAAGUACGAUUGCCUUACGGAAUUUAGCAUUGCUUAUUAUUUUGACAAAUGAAUAUAAAAAUAUUAUCCCCCACAGAACCAUAAAUCAAGUGGAACAAAACACUUUGGGUUUCAUCAAGCAAUCAUAUCAUUGGAACGCCGAAAAGAGUCGUACAGACCAAGAUACAUACAAUAACACAAUACACAAUCGUAGAGCUCAUAAAUAAAUCGCACAAACUACAACAUACUCAGAAC